rnacentral:rRNA from 1 species
CGAUUGACGCUGAGGCUCGAAAGUGCGGGAAUCAAACAGGAUUAGAUACCCUGGUAGUCCGCACCGUAAACGAUGAAUGCUCGUUCUGGGCGACACACUGUCCGGGACCAAGGGAAACCAUUAAGCAUUCCACCUGGGGAGUACGCCGGCAACGGUGAAACUCAAAGGAAUUGACGGGGGCCCGCACAAGCGGAGGAACAUGUGGUUUAAUUCGAUGAUACGCGAGGAACCUUACCUGGACUCAAAUGUUGACUGACCGAUCCAGAAAUGGAUUUCUCCUUCGGGACAGUUAGCAAGGUGCUGCAUGGUUGUCGUCAGCUCGUGCCGUGAGGUGUCAGGUUAAGUCCUAUAACGAGCGCAACCCCUACGUCCAGUUGCCAGCGGGUAAAGCCGGGGGCUCUGGAGGGACUGCCGGCGCAAGCCGAGAGGAAGGUGGGGAUGACGUCAAAUCAGCACGGCCCUUACGUCCAGGGCGACACACGUGCUACAAUGGCCGGUACAGAGGGCAGCCACCUGGUGACAGGGAGCGAAUCUCGAAAGCCGGUCUCAGUUCGGAUCGGAGUCUGCAACUCGACUCCGUGAAGUUGGAUUCGCUAGUAA